GGACGCGGGGGAGGGGCUGGGGGGGGGGACCAGACGCUCCACGCCAGGCUGGGCGCCGGGCCCGCUCUCCGCCCACGGGAGGCUCGUGUCUGGCCGGCCGGCCGCCAGCGCUGUCCCAAUGGGAACGUCCGUGCCCAGUCCUGCUGCCACCUCACGUUCCUUGUGAGGCCUCUGUCCUUUCAAGCAGAGCAACCGUCACCUGAAGAGAAAAGCCACACGGAGCCCUUUUAUCCAAGUGCGGGGUCUGGUAGGAUGCCCACAGUUCCGACGCCGGUGCCCACGGGGCUGGCCCCUGGGUCCUCGGAGCGCCAGGUGGAGCCGGGACUGUGACCGCGGCCCUUCCCACGGGGCGUGUUUGCUCGUGCCUGUACUUCUCACUAAGGAGACCUGGCCGGGGGGACGGGAGAGCGGGUGGCUCUCAGACCUUCUAGGCCCCGAGACACCUGACUUCCCCGCAGACACUUAGUGUUCCUUUACCGUGAGAGCCACAUCAGAGCCACGGCAAGUCGGGGGGAAGCGGCGCCUCCCGCCUCCUCUCGCCGUGUGGCCUCCCCGGGCGGGCUGCCCUCCGCUCCCGGCCCGGCACGCACGCCUGCCUGCGUCCUCCCAUCCCGUCUUCUCUGUCACCACCCGCAUUUUUGCACAACACGUGAGCAUCCAAGAUCCGUGUGCCGUCGCUUCAGGAACAGGGCGACUUGCACACUCACACCUUCUCGAGGAAGCCGUCCGAGCUCGGUCGCAGCAGCGCAGUGGAAACAACUGGCAUGCCGGGAGAUGGGUGGCUACCUGCGAAACCCCAUGGGGCCGGGGGUGACGGGCGCGUCUUAUUACCGUAGGGAGCGCUGGGAGCCGGCCUCAGCUGAUGCUGACGGGCGACUCAGGGUGGGGCCUCGUCACGUGGCUGGUCCCCAGAAAGACCGCCUGAGCGCGGCCUGCAGCUUUCAGCCCCAUCCCAACGGCCCCGCAGGUGCGGGAGGGUGGCACCCAGAGAGGAUGUGCAGCUCCUCACACUUCCCCACGCCUGUCCCGUGCGCCCCCACCCUUUCCUGUGAGCCCCCUGCCUGUCCCAUGCACCCCCCCCGCCUGUCCUGUGUGCCCCCCCACCUGUCCCAUGUGGGCCCCUCCCCCCCACCCGGCCCCAGGGGCCCCCCCAACCGCACCAGCCGCCCCCCCCCCCCCCAUCUCAUCGCGUGUGGCCCUGCGAAUCGUCCGUGUGGCAGUUCCCGCAGCUGCUCCCAGGCUGCAGCCUCCGCUGUGCCCUGAGCUCUGUGAGCUGCUCUAGCGCGUGACUGACCCUGAGGGGCUGUGGGAGGCCCGGCUGGGAGCCGGUCAGCUGGCGGUGAGGGGCAGCUUGGACUCAGGCAGGGCGGCCAUGAGGACGUGAGGAGACCCAGUGGUGUCGGCUGCGGGUGGAGGAGAAUUGCCACCCUUGUGGGAAACCCCCCAGCCAUUGACCUUGGGGCAGGGUCCUUCCAGGGGCCAACACCCUGCCCAAGGGGCUCGGCGGGAAGCCACGCUGUGCCGGAGGCUGGGAGGGGACGGCAGCCAUCCGCGCCACAUCCCGCUUCUUCCUCUGUUGCAGAGGACGCCCUCGCCUCCCUGAGGCCUACGAGGUGCGUAAAAUAUUUCUGGGACUUUCUGAACAUGCAGGAAGGAUGUUGUGAGGCUGGGUGUCCCCGCGGGGUCAGGGCUCGGGCUUCUUCAGAUGCUUCACCCUCACCUCCUCCCCCCCCCCCCCACCGACCCCCCAGCCGAGCCGAGCAUAUGAAAGCAAACCCACACGGCGUCCUUGACCUACAGCCAGUUAAUGUGCCGUGGAAGGAUCAGGACUCUUAGCGGGACCGCGAUGCAGGACUGCCGGAAAACAAUUAGGAAACCAGUGCUUACAGCCCCACGGCCGCCGUGCCCAGCACUCCUGUGAGCGGCCAGACCAGGCUCGGCUUGUCCCCUGCCUCCCGGAGCGCCAGCUCCUGGCCCAGGGCCUGUGCCCCAUUGUCACCCAGGCCCCCUGGAAACGCCACUCUGCAAAUGCCCAGCUGUCCCUUCCCGGCCAGCCCCUGGCUUCCCGGCUCUGCUGCGGAGGGGUGCUAGGCUCUGCUGCGGGGUCGGGGCAUCUCAGCCCUCCCCUCUCCCACCCACGCACCCCUUCCCACCCGCUCUUGCAAAGCUUGACUACUCCCCUGGCCUCUGCCGUUCAGUCAGCAGGUGACCACAAGGAGAAAAGAGAGGCCACCAGGCGGGCACGCACAGGCUCUGCCGUCUCCUCCCCUGGGCCUCUGCCAGUGCCCCCUCUGUGGCCCCAGUUCUGUUGCUCCCGGCCUCCCGGCGCUUUGCUGUGGCACACGGACCCCUUCCCUCGGCUGGUCCCGGCACCAUUGCCCAGGCCCGCCCGUGGUGCCGCCCCGCUCCUGGAUGGCAGGUGCCCUGUUUCCCUUGCAGCUCCUCUCCUCUCGAGCGUCCCCCCUGACCCCGUGAGAAGCUGCUUGUGUCCUGCCACCUUCCUCGGGUCAGGCGUCCCCAAGGCUGGCUCUGUCCCCAGGAGCCAGGCCUCAUCAUCUCUACCUCCAUCCCUGGGUCUCUCCAGCAGAUGGUCACAAGCAGUCCUCUGACACUGUGUCCUCACAGCUCACGGGCACCAGCCUCCGUGUCUGUGUCUCCUGACUGCCCUCCUCACCCUGUUGUACCUCGCCCCCAGUGCCCUCCGGAGCCUCUUUGUCAUCCUACCUAGACCCUCUUCUUUGCCACAGGGCCUUUGCACAAGCAUCUCAUCCCCUUGCCCGCUGGGCCCCCACUCUUCCGCGGAUCCUCAAAGCGUGUGUGGCCACUCUGGAAGGUUCCCUUUGCUCCUAGACCUGCACAGGCUCCUGGGGUCCCAACCCCCUGCCAGCCAGGAAUGUGCCGGUAAUCCUCCCCCCAACCAGGCUUCCGACUCGGCCAGGCUCUGGCUUCUCGGGCCGGACACAUGGGAUCCGUGGUCACCUGUGCCAGGUGUCGCCUGUUGCUGUCCGUCCAGCUCCCCCUCAGCCCGCCCUGCAGGAUGCCGAUCGGGGUGGACCCGGCAGGGGGCUCCCAGUGGCUGGCUCAGGGCUGCCGGGGUUGGGGGGGUGCCUGAGUCAGGCUGGACUCUUCCUGUGUCCGGGCCCUGAGUGCACGCGGCCCCACAGCAGCGCUCCUGUCCCGUUGGCGCCCGGGUCCGGGGUGCACCCGCCUCCUGCCGGCUGCAGGGACCCCCUCCCAGCCUCUCCCCACAUCGCACAGGCGGUUGUCAAGACCAGGAGACCACUGAGCCUGCUGGGGCUGCCGGCUCCCGGCCCCGUUGGCGGAGCUGUAUUUAAGCGCCACUAACGGUGGAGGCUGGCGACUGGCGCUGCGUGGAAGCCUUCCUUCUGUAAGAUGGGGGUGAAAUCCACACGUCACGUAAAACGUGUGAACUGUUUUCAGGUGUCCAGUUGAGGAGCACCCAGCACGCUCACCCCACGCACAGCCACCCCCCCACCCGCUCUGUCCCCAGGACUCUCCCGUCCCCCCGAAAGGAAGGUCUGUCCCCAUCAGACACCAGGUCCCCGUCCCCUCCCCUGCUCCCUCUGUCUGUCUGCCCUCUGUGAACAUGACGGCUCCGGGGACCUCGAGAGGGUGGGGGUCACACCGGACCUGUCCUUUUGCGUCCGGCUUCUGUCACCGGGCAUCGCGACCUCGGGGCUCCUCCGCGCGUGGCAGGCGUCUCCCUCCCGCGAGGCCGGGGGACGUCGUGCCGUGUGGACGGACCGCUGCGUUUACCCGCUCAUCCACAGUGGACGCUCGGGUCCCUUCCACCUGCGGGCUCCUGUGAAUCUGCUGCCGUGCACACGGGGGUGUCUGAGGCCCCGCUUUCAGUUUGGGGGGGGGCGCCCAGGAGUGGGAUCGCUGGAGCUAGCUUCUAUUUGUACACGGUUUACUCUAGUGGGCAAUGUGACGUCCACAACACUCUGCAAGAAGAGGAAGGUUAUCCUGUUCUGUAUAAUCUGUGAACCACACGGACAUGCUGUGCAUAGUCGCUGUUGUAUUUUGUAGCAUAGAAACUUAAAAAUACUUGUAUGAUCUGGAGUGGCAAAAAGCCUCACAAAUCAAAUAGGAAAUACAGAAUCUUUGGAACUACA